AACGAACGCUGGCGGCAGGCUUAACACAUGCAAGUCGAGCGCCCCGCAAGGGGAGCGGCAGACGGGUGAGUAACGCGUGGGAAUCUACCUUUUGCUACGGAAUAACUCAGGGAAACUUGUGCUAAUACCGUAUGUGCCCUUCGGGGGAAAGAUUUAUCGGCAAAGGAUGAGCCCGCGUUGGAUUAGCUAGUUGGUGGGGUAAAGGCCUACCAAGGCGACGAUCCAUAGCUGGUCUGAGAGGAUGAUCAGCCACAUUGGGACUGAGACACGGCCCAAACUCCUACGGGAGGCAGCAGUGGGGAAUAUUGGACAAUGGGCGCAAGCCUGAUCCAGCCAUGCCGCGUGAGUGAUGAAGGCCUUAGGGUUGUAAAGCUCUUUCACCGGUGAAGAUAAUGACGGUAACCGGAGAAGAAGCCCCGGCUAACUUCGUGCCAGCCGCCGCGGUAA
rnacentral:rRNA from 1 species